rnacentral:lncRNA from 10 species
CACCUUUUAAUUCCUAGGCCACUAAAAGAAGAGAAAAAGUAUAUAACUUCCAAACCAAAAGAUGGAAAAAUAGAGUAUGAAUAGAAUCAUUCAUAACUAUAAAUUAAAGGGCUAAAUGAUCCUGUUAAAGUAAGUUAUCAGACUGGAUUAAAACAAACUAUAUGCUAUUUCCAAGAGGUACAUCUAAAACAUAAAAAUACAGAAAGCGUGAAAGUAAAGAAAGAGAAAUGCCAUAUAACGGUAACCAAAAAAGAAGCUGAUGUUAUUAAUACCAGAAAAAAAGAGACUUUUAGUAAAAGGCAUUACUAGGGAUAAAAGGUUUACUUCAUAAAAUUUCAAUUCAUAUAACAAUUUUAUAUUUGUGUGGCCUCAAAUAUAUAAAGCAAAGUUCACAGAACUAUAUCUAAGUAGAGAUAACUCAACAAUUGUCUCAUUAAUAGAAGCAAAUAAAACUUCAUUAAGAGCAGAGAAGAUAUGAACAACGUAUUACAAUCUAAUGGCUUUAUGUAGAUGACUGCAUGCGGCAUCUGCAGAACAUGCAUUCUUUUCAAGUGCCCACAAAUCUUCACUAAGGUUAAACACAUGCUGGGCCAUAAAGCAAAUCUCAACACAAUUCAAAGGACAGCAGUCACAUGGACCAUGUUUUGUAACAACAAUAACAAAAAUAUAACUAGGAAAUUCCCAUGUUUGGAAGUUAAAAAAUAUACUUCUAAAUAAGCCAUGGAAUCUGUUGUGAUUUCCCAAUUUUCAUUCCUGACUUUGAUUAUUUGUGCUUUUCUUUCUCAAUCACAUCAGAGGUUUACCAAUUUUGUCUUUUCAAAGCAGCAACCUUGACUUUGUUGUUCUUUGUUGUGUUUGCUGUUUCAUCAACUUUUGCUCUCAUUCUUAUCUCCUUCAACUUUUAAAAAGAUAGUCAAUUUAACAACGUUUGUACAAAAUUUUUAUAAAGUACAGAGCAUUUUUAUUAAGCCUUAAAAUAAUCUUGUAAACAGGUCUUUUCCCUCAUUUUACAGAUGGGAAAAUGACAGAACAGGAAAUAAAUCCAUAUUAUUGCACUGAAUGGAAUAUGGCCCCAUGGUUUGCACCCAAGACCAGAGGAACUUCACCUGCUCCUCUCUGGGGCUUUGCCCUGCCCACCCCAGGACCACUACUUAUCCUCUGAGAUCUUAAGGGACACUCACCAGAAAUAGCCAUGGUUAAGAUGGUAAAAGUCUGGCUCUCACCAACCCUUCCUACAGUAAUCUCCAGCACAUCUGAAUAUUGCUGGGAAAACACAGGGGAAACAAGAUGUGUACCAUGUGAGUGAGCAGGCUCAGCCGCACCAGUUCAUUGGGUCUGUGCUACAAGGGAGACCCCACCAUGUCUGGGAUCAGCCUGAAUGGCUUGUAUCUGGCUGUAGGUACACUUGAGGACCUGGGCCCAUUUCUGGAGCAUGCGAGUAGAUGGGGGCCGCAGUAGGAGCUUGUCUGGUGCUUAGUGGGGCUGAGGCACUCAGAAUCCCCACCUGAGCUGUGGCCAUCCUCUCCUUUGUUAUUUAGCCUGCAUCUCCCCAAAAGUAGACAGUGCAUUAGGUUCAGCUGGAGCUCAAGUACGGGAGCUCUCCUGUGUGAGGAGCACAUGGAAACCUCAGGUUAAAAACAACCAAAGCUGGUCUCAUCUUCAGCAAAAAGAAGCCCAAUCCAUGUCCCCACGACUACGGGGAACGAGUACUCCAUGGCACCCUCCUUCCUGCCCACACAUCAGCCCUGCCAGAGACCAGCCUUGCUGGAGGAUGCCUGGGCACUUCCGUAGCUGCCUUUACUCAGGUCAUCCUAGUUCCUACUCCUCUCAGAAAACCCAAUUCAACGUCCUGCCCAGAUGUCACCAAUUCCUCCCUCUUGGUUGGUCCUAGUCGCUGUCCUCUGAGCACCUGCAGUCUUAAUUCAUCCAUUAGGGUGGUUGUGCUCACAGCCUUUCUCCCUUUAUUCAUCCUCAUCUACCAGAAUCUACUCCUGCUGCCAUCCUCUCCCACCCAGUACCUGGGACAGGGACAGUGCCUAGUAGAUCCUCAAGUAUUUGCUGAAUAAAUCAGUCCAAGUCUGUGUAUAGGGUCAGGCUUGCCAGUGUCAUGUGCAAAGGAGGAUAGAGAGCAAGUAUGAUCAGAACAGUCCAAGUGGAGCAGUGGUAGAAAUGCUCCAUCUCCCUUUCCUCCCUCAACUCCACCCUUCCCCACCGCAGCCAUCAAAACU